rnacentral:rRNA from 1 species
CCGGCGAGUUACGAUUUGAUGCAAGGUUAAGCAGUAAAUGUGGAGCCGUAGCGAAAGCGAGUCUGAAUAGGGCGUUUAGUAUUUGGUCGUAGACCCGAAACCAGGUGAUCUACCCUUGGUCAGGUUGAAGUUCAGGUAACACUGAAUGGAGGACCGAACCGACUUACGUUGAAAAGUGAGCGGAUGAACUGAGGGUAGCGGAGAAAUUCCAAUCGAACCUGGAGAUAGCUGGUUCUCUCCGAAAUAGCUUUAGGGCUAGCCUCAAGUGAUGAUUAUUGGAGGUAGAGCACUGUUUGGACGAGGGGCCCCUCUCGGGUUACCGAAUUCAGACAAACUCCGAAUGCCAAUUAAUUUAACUUGGGAGUCAGAACAUGGGUGAUAAGGUCCGUGUUCGAAAGGGAAACAGCCCAGACCACCAGCUAAGGUCCCAAAAUAUAUGUUAAGUGGAAAAGGAUGUGGCGUUGCCCAGACAACUAGGAUGUUGGCUUAGAAGCAGCCAUCAUUUAAAGAGUGCGUAAUAGCUCACUAGUCGAGUGACACUGCGCCGAAAAUGUACCGGGGCUAAACAUAUUACCGAAGCUGUGGAUUGUCCUUUGGACAAUGGUAGGAGAGCGUUCUAAGGGCGUUGAAGCAUGAUCGUAAGGACAUGUGGAGCGCUUAGAAGUGAGAAUGCCGGUGUGAGUAGCGAAAGACGGGUGAGAAUCCCGUCCACCGAUUGACUAAGGUUUCCAGAGGAAGGCUCGUCCGCUCUGGGUUAGUCGGGUCCUAAGCUGAGGCCGACAGGCGUAGGCGAUGGAUAACAGGUUGAUAUUCCUGUACCACCUAUAAUCGUUUUAAUCGAUGGGGGGACGCAGUAGGAUAGGCGAAGCGUGCGAUUGGAUUGCACGUCUAAGCAGUAAGGCUGAGUAUUAGGCAAAUCCGGUACUCAUUAAGGCUGAGCUGUGAUGGGGAGAAGACAUUGUGUCUUCGAGUCGUUGAUUUCACACUGCCGAGAAAAGCCUCUAGAUAGAAAAUAGGUGCCCGUACCGCAAACCGACACAGGUAGUCAAGAUGAGAAUUCUAAGGUGAGCGAGCGAACUCUCGUUAAGGAACUCGGCAAAAUGACCCCGUAACUUCGGGAGAAGGGGUGCUCUUUAGGGUUAACGCCCAGAAGAGCCGCAGUGAAUAGGCCCAAGCGACUGUUUAUCAAAAACACAGGUCUCUGCUAAACCGUAAGGUGAUGUAUAGGGGCUGACGCCUGCCCGGUGCUGGAAGGUUAAGAGGAGUGGUUAGCUUCUGCGAAGCUACGAAUCGAAGCCCCAGUAAACGGCGGCCGUAACUAUAACGGUCCUAAGGUAGCGAAAUUCCUUGUCGGGUAAGUUCCGACCCGCACGAAAGGCGUAACGAUUUGGGCACUGUCUCAACGAGAGACUCGGUGAAAUCAUAGUACCUGUGAAGAUGCAGGUUACCCGCGACAGGACGGAAAGACCCCGUGGAGCUUUACUGUAGCCUGAUAUUGAAAUUCGGCACAGCUUGUACAGGAUAGGUAGGAGCCUUUGAAACGUGAGCGCUAGCUUACGUGGAGGCGCUGGUGGGAUACUACCCUAGCUGUGUUGGCUUUCUAACCCGCACCACUUAUCGUGGUGGGAGACAGUGUCAGGCGGGCAGUUUGACUGGGGCGGUCGCCUCCUAAAAGGUAACGGAGGCGCUCAAAGGUUCCCUCAGAAUGGUUGGAAAUCAUUCAUAGAGUGUAAAGGCAUAAGGGAGCUUGACUGCGAGACCUACAAGUCGAGCAGGGUCGAAAGACGGACUUAGUGAUCCGGUGGUUCCGCAUGGAAGGGCCAUCGCUCAACGGAUAAAAGCUACCCCGGGGAUAACAGGCUUAUCUCCCCCAAGAGUUCACAUCGACGGGGAGGUUUGGCACCUCGAUGUCGGCUCAUCGCAUCCUGGGGCUGUAGUCGGUCCCAAGGGUUGGGCUGUUCGCCCAUUAAAGCGGUACGCGAGCUGGGUUCAGAACGUCGUGAGACAGUUCGGUCCCUAUCCGUCGUGGGCGUAGGAAAUUUGAGAGGAGCUGUCCUUAGUACGAGAGGACCGGGAUGGACAUACCUCUGGUGUACCAGUUGUCGUGCCAACGGCAUAGCUGGGUAGCUAUGUGUGGACGGGAUAAGUGCUGAAAGCAUCUAAGCAUGAAGCCCCCCUCAAGAUGAGAUUUCCCAACUUCGGUUAUAAGAUCCCUCAAAGAUGAUGAGGUUAAUAGGUUCGAGGUGGAAGCAUGGUGACAUGUGGAGCUGACGAAUACUAA